CACGUAGGCACCAAGCGUUGUCCGGAUUUAUUGGGCGUAAAGAGCUCGUAGGUGGUUCGGUAAGUCGGAUGUGAAAUCUCCAGGCUCAACCUGGAGGGGUCAUUCGAUACUGCCGUGACUGGAGUUCGGUAGGGGAGUGUGGAAUUCCUGGUGGAGCGGUGAAAUGCGCAGAUAUCAGGAGGAACACCCGUAGCGAAGGCGGCACUCUGGGCCGAUACUGACACUGAGGAGCGAAAGCGUGGGGAGCGAACAGG
rnacentral:rRNA from 1 species